AGAUAUGUAGCUCAGUGGCAGAGCACUUGCCUAGCAAGCUAGAGGUCCUGAGUUCAAUACCCAGUACCUG
rnacentral:tRNA from 1 species